rnacentral:rRNA from 1 species
GCGUGGGAAUCUGCCUGGUAGUGGGGACAACAGUUGGAAACGACUGCUAAUACCGCAUACGCCCUACGGGGGAAAGGACGGGGGAGUCUUCGGACCUCGCGCUACCAGAUGAGCCCACGUCAGAUUAGCUAGUUGGUGGGGUAAUGGCCUACCAAGGCGACGAUCUGUAGCUGGUCUGAGAGGAUGAUCAGCCACACUGGGACUGAGACACGGCCCAGACUCCUACGGGAGGCAGCAGUGGGGAAUAUUGCACAAUGGGGGAAACCCUGAUGCAGCCAUGCCGCGUGUGUGAAGAAGGCC